ACAUGCAAGUCGAGCGGUGACAGAAGGAAGCUUGCUUUCUUUGCUGACGAGCGGCGGACGGGUGAGUAAUGCCUGGGAAUAUGCCUUAGUGUGGGGGAUAACUAUUGGAAACGAUAGCUAAUACCGCAUAACGUCUUCGGACCAAAGAGGGGGACCUUCGGGCCUCUCGCGCUAAGAUUAGCCCAGGUGGGAUUAGCUAGUUGGUGAGGUAAAGGCUCACCAAGGCAACGAUCCCUAGCUGGUCUGAGAGGAUGAUCAGCCACACUGGAACUGAGACACGGUCCAGACUCCUACGGGAGGCAGCAGUGGGGAAUAUUGCACAAUGGGGGAAACCCUGAUGCAGCCAUGCCGCGUGUAUGAAGAAGGCCUUCGGGUUGUAAAGUACUUUCAGUCGUGAGGAAGGGUGUGUAGUUAAUAGCUGCAUGCCUUGACGUUAGCGACAGAAGAAGCACCGGCUAACUCCGUGCCAGCAGCCGCGGUAAUACGGAGGGUGCGAGCGUUAAUCGGAAUUACUGGGCGUAAAGCGCAUGCAGGCGGUCUGUUAAGCAAGAUGUGAAAGCCCGGGGCUCAACCUCGGAACCGCAUUUUGAACUGGCAGACUAGAGUCUUGUAGAGGGGGGUAGAAUUUCAGGUGUAGCGGUGAAAUGCGUAGAGAUCUGAAGGAAUACCGGUGG
rnacentral:rRNA from 1 species